CAGAAAGCCUCCUGGCUCCAGUGGAAGCAGGGGACGCAGGUGGAACAUGGAGGCAGGCUCAGGCGGACUCAGCGGACGGCCACAGUUUGCAGGAUCCAAACGCAGCCGGAAAUAGCGGCGUGCUGGAGGACGCGGUGGUAGAGCACUUACUGGCUCCUGAAUGAUUCUGCAGAGUCUUCCUGGAAGUGUGACUCUGACAAGGUGAGCAAACGGUGCUUCAUGUGUGGCGCUAAGCGUGGUUGGUUUGGUUAAGUAAAUGAUUAUGAUCAUAAUUGUGUAAGGAUGAUAAAAAGUAAACACUUUAUAAAACUGAAGAAAAUAAAAAUAAAAUCGAAAAAUUCUAAAAUGAUAAUAAAUAAAAACAUUUAAUAUAAUUUAGAACAAUAUUAAAUGUGAUUUUUUGUCCGUUACUGAUCCAGAGCUUUUGGGUUCCGGCCUGCGUGUGUGUACGUGUGCUUUGUAAAGUGUGUUGAUAUAUCAAACAGUGAGGUAAAACACGAGGCGAGGCUCAUUCCGUGAGUGCAGACGUCCUGAAGUUCACCCAAAACGUCCGAGUCACGCAAAUGGAAUCUGCCUUGUGCUUGUGGCGUCUGCUGCACUCCUUCGUGGAUCUGCUUCACUUCCUGUUUUGCAACGCUCGCGCUGAGGAUGAGCCUCUCGUCCCGGCGAAGGGGUCAGACGGGGUGGACAGCCGGCGCUGGGAGUGUGAGCGGCCGAUCGACUGUGUCCUUCAAAAUGCUGUUGAUUUGAGACGAAAACAUUCUUUUUGCAAAUUUAUGCUCUUGUGUUAUGGGUCUCUUUGGGAAGAGUCUCCCGGGUUUUCUGGCUUCGCGUCACCUCCUGAUGCUGCUUCACCACAGAGUGACCAGGACAGCGCUGCUGCUGUCGCCGGUCCAAGUUCAUAAGACACGCAGAUGCCAGAGAAGUGCAGUGGGGUGAAUGCGGCUUUCCCAGGCUCUGAGUCCAGGAGGAAACCCUGCUCUUUGAGGCUGUGGUUUUAUCGCUGAAAUGAAUAAGUUGGCGUCCUACGGGGCAAAAGAUAAGACGCUCUGGUGUCAUUCCUGUUUCACCAGCAACCAUUUACUAACCUCUUAAUGGAGUAAUUACAAGAACAGACUGAUUUGGAAACUCAGUGAAACGCUCUUGCACAACAGCUCCGUGCGCUUCGCAGGAAUGCGCCCUGACGCUCCUCGCGCCAUAAUAAGGCCAUAAACUGAAGGAUUACCAGACCCAAUUAAAAUCAAACCUCAGUCUCUGUCCGCACAUUCUCCAGAUGCGCCGUCGCAAACUGCACGCGAGCGCAAACGAAGAGGCGUGUGAAAUAACAUGUUUUUCACGCCACGGAGACGGACCCGGCCCACGUCCUCCUGUCCACGUUCCGGUUCGGGUUUGGAGGCAGCGGUGCAGAGGUACCGUGUGUGCGUGCCCCCGGUAAUCAUCUGCGGGCCUGAGCACGAGCCAAAGAGGAAGAGGGGCGCAAUGAGCUCAAGGGCUCGCGCAGCCGCGUCACGUGGUG